rnacentral:rRNA from 1 species
AUCCAACGCGUUGGGAGCUCUCCCAUAUGGUCGACCUGCAGGCGGCCGCACUAGUGAUUUUCCGGUUGAUCCUGCCGGACCCGACUGCUAUCGGAUUGANAUUUAGCCAUGCGAGUCGAACGUUCCCCUGUUGCGGGGGGCGUGGCGUACGGCUCAGUAACACGUAGUCAACCUGCCCUGGAGACCAGAAUAACCCCGGGAAACUGGGAUUAAUACUGGAUAGGUCAUCUCAUCUGGAAGGAGAGAUGGCUUAAAGGGGUGUGUGAGCUUCUUUCAUACAGCUGCUCCAGGAUGGGACUGCGACUGAUCAGGCUGUUGGCGGGGUAAUGGCCCACCAAACCAGUAACCAGUACGGGCCUUGAGAGAGGGGGCCCGGAGAUGGACACUGAGAGAAGGGUCCAGGUCCUACGGGGCGCAGAGGCGCGAAAACCUUCGCAAUGCGCGAAAGUGACGAGGUUAAUCCGAGUGGUUCCCGCUGAGGGAAUCUUUUGUCGGCUCUAAAAAGGCCGGCGAAUAAGGGGAGGGCAAGUCUUGUGUCAGCGCCGCGGUAAUACCAGCUCCUCGAGUGGUCGGGGCGAUUAUUGGGCCUAAAGCAUCCGUAGCCGGUUCUGUAGGUCCUCUGUUAAAUCCAACGGCUUAACCGUUGGCCCGCAGAGGAUACCGCAGGACUAGGAGGCGGGAGAGGCAGACGGUACUCUACGUGUAGGGGUAAAAUCCUUUGAUCCGUAGAAGACCACCAGUGGCGAAGGCGGUCUGCCAGAACGCGCUCGACGGUGAGGGAUGAAAGCUGGGGGAGCGAACCGGAUUAGAUACCCGGGUAGUCCCAGCCGUAAACGAUGCGAGCUAGAUGAUUCGGUCGCAAAUCGCGAUCGAAGUGUCGCAGGGAAGCCGUUAAGCUCGCCGCCUGGGGAGUACGGUCGCAAUACUGAAACUUAAAGGAAUUGCGGAAUCCCGCGCCAUGGCGGCCGGGUA